CAGCAGCCACGGUAAGACAGAGGAUGCAAGCGUUAUCCGGAAUGAUUGGGCGUAAAGCGUGCGCAGGCGGUUCGUUAAGACAGAUGUGAAAUCCCCGGGCUUAACCUGGGAACUGCAUUUGUGACUGGCGAGCUAGAGUAUGGCAGAGGGGGGUAGAAUUCCACGUGUAGCAGUGAAAUGCGUAGAGAUGUGGAGGAAUACCGAUGGCGAAGGCAGCCCCCUGGGCCAAUACUGACGCUCAUGCACGAAAGCGUGGGGAGCAAACAGGAUUAGAUACCCCGGUAGUCCCUGUCUCUUAUAC
rnacentral:rRNA from 1 species